rnacentral:rRNA from 1 species
UACAGAGGUCCCAAGCGUUGUUCGGAUUCACUGGGCGUAAAGGGUGCGUAGGUGGCCAGGUAAGUUCGGUGUGAAAGCUCGGAGCUUAACUCCGAAAUGGCAUUGAAUACUAUCUGGCUAGAGGGUCGGAGGGGAGACUGGAAUUCUCGGUGUAGCAGUGAAAUGCGUAGAUAUCGAGAGGAACACCAGUGGCGAAGGCGAGUCUCUGGACGACACCUGACACUGAGGCACGAAGGUCAGGGGAGCAAACGGG